UCCCCGCCGCUGAUUGGGGUCCAUCUCCUCCACCCUCUCAUAUGUCGCCCGCACUGUCCUUCAUCUCAUCUCUGCUUUGUAGAGGCCCAAGAUUCUCGCUAGAGGCGCUCGAGCGCCGUCGACGGGAAGGCGUGGCGGAGGUUGACUAGGUGGAGGAGGAGGAGCUCAGGCCGGAGAGGCAGGGGCCAGUAGGGAAAGUAUCCGAGCGGUGUUUCUGCGGAUGAGUGCGGCCAGCGGCGUUCUACCAAAUCCCCCACGCCUCUACCCAUCCUCUCGACAACAAAAUGUGCGGCUCCACCACGACCCGGUCAACAGGUCAUCAGCAUCGUGUUCUCCUGCGAGGAGGUGCCGUUCAUGAUGGCAACCGCGAGUUCAAGACGGCGGCCGCUUGGAGAUUUGGUCCGUGCUGCUAGACGGGGAUGGGACUGGGAGGACCCGGCACGGAUGGAGAGGAUGGAUCCGGUGGGGCGCCCGUGCCGGUUGAGGUCCUCGAUGUCCUGCUUGAUGUCCUCCGUUCAGCGUGCACGGUGGGGGGUGCAGAGGUGUGAUGCAGAUGGUGGCUUUUGUGUUCCCUAACUGGGUGGUUGUGAUGUUUUUGUCAACGGUUUCUGCAGGUUCCAUGGCGGUGGUAGACAGGCAUUGCCGCUGCCGCAGCUGCGGCAGCUAGCUGUGAUCUCUCUCUCUCUUCUCAUGUAUCUAUCGAUUUACUUAUCCUUACACGGAAGUGAAUGUGGAGGUAGCCAAAUUUAAUGUCUGUUUUUUUCCCGAGAAUUCAAGUUCAUACAAUAUUUGAUCUCUACUUCAGGGUUUUGUUUACGAGCUACAAAACUGAAACCUGGAAACACAAUGGAAGGAUCAAUUCAGAGAAUAUAUGAAGGAAAUCAAUCUAUGCAUUUGAGAGGUUCAUUGUAGCUUUCAUUAUCAGGGCUUUGCUAUGCAUCGAUGCGGAGCUUGAGGAGGCAGAAUUAGAUCCUUAAUUGUGCAGGUCUUCUGACAUCUCUUCAUUGAUAUGAAGGUUUUGAUGCAGGAUGAAAGCAUGCAAGAUGAGAAUGAGUUCACAUCCACCAACCAAGUUAAUCAAGGAACUAAACAUUUAUUAGUUGUUGGAUGCACAUUGUUCUAUGCUCAAUUGAGUUGACACAAAAAGUACACCUGGUUCACCUGGUAGACAACUCUAUAAUUUCAUUGAUUAUAAACUACAAAG